rnacentral:rRNA from 1 species
UGUCGACUUGGAGGUUGUGCCCUUGAGGCGUGGCUUCCGGAGCUAACGCGUUAAGUCGACCGCCUGGGGAGUACGGCCGCAAGGUUAAAACUCAAAUGAAUUGACGGGGGCCCGCACAAGCGGUGGAGCAUGUGGUUUAAUUCGAUGCAACGCGAAGAACCUUACCUGGUCUUGACAUCCACGGAAGUUUUCAGAGAUGAGAAUGUGCCUUCGGGAACCGUGAGACAGGUGCUGCAUGGCUGUCGUCAGCUCGUGUUGUGAAAUGUUGGGUUAAGUCCCGCAACGAGCGCAACCCUUAUCCUUUGUUGCCAGCGGUUAGGCCGGGAACUCAAAGGAGACUGCCAGUGAUAAACUGGAGGAAGGUGGGGAUGACGUCAAGUCAUCAUGGCCCUUACGACCAGGGCUACACACGUGCUACAAUGGCAUAUACAAAGAGAAGCGACCUCGCGAGAGCAAGCGGACCUCAUAAAGUAUGUCGUAGUCCGGAUUGGAGUCUGCAACUCGACUCCAUGAAGUCGGAAUCGCUAGUAAUCGUGGAUCAGAAUGCCACGGUGAAUACGUUCCCGGGCCUUGUACACACCGCCCGUCACACCAUGGGAGUGGGUUGCAAAAGAAGUAGGUAGCUUAACCUUCGGGAGGGCGCUUACCACUUUGUGAUUCAUGACUGGGGUGAAGUCGUAACAAGGUAACCGUAGGGGAACCUGCGGUUGGAUCACCUCCUUACCUUAAAGAA